rnacentral:rRNA from 1 species
GACGAACGCUGGCGGCGUGCUUAACACAUGCAAGUCGAACGGAAAGGCCCUGCUUUUGUGGUGUGCUCGAUUGGCGAACGGGUGAGUAACACGUGAGUAUCCUGCCCUUGACUUUGGGAUAACUUCACGAAACUGGGGCUAAUAUCGGAUAGGAUCUCCUGCUCCAUGGUGGGCGUUGGAAAGUUUCGGCGGUUGGGGAUGGACUCGCGGCUUAUCAGCUUGUUGGUGGGGUAGUUGCUUACCAAGGGUUUGACGGGUAGGCGGCCUGAGAGCGCAGACAGGGACAUGAGGACUAAGGGAGGCCGCAGUAUGCAACGGGAGGCAGCAGGCGGGAAUAUGACACAAUGGGCGGGAGCCUGAUGCGGAGACGCCGCGUGCGGGAUGACGGCCUUCGGGUUGAGAACCGCUUUCGCCUGUGACGAAGCGUGAGUGACGGUAAUGAGUAAAGAAGCACCGGCUAACUACGUG